rnacentral:tRNA from 1 species
UGGGGAGUAGUCUAAUGGUAGAACACGUGACUCUGGCUCACGAUGUGGGGGUUCAACUCCUCCCUCCCCAGCCA